CCGACACAGGUGGGUGAGGAGAGUAUCCUAAGGCCAGCGAGAGAACUAUUGUUAAGGAACUCGGCAAAAUGACCCCGUAACUUAGGGAGAAGGGGUGCCUGUCUAUGACAGGCCGCAGAGAAUAGGCCCAAGCGACUGUUUACCAAAAACACAGGUUUCUGCUAAGUCGCAAGACGAUGUAUAGGAGCUGACGCCUGCCCGGUGCUGGAAGGUUAAGGGGAUCUGUUAGAGCAAUCGAAGCAGUGAACUUAAGCCCCAGUAAACGGCGGCCGUAACUAUAACGGUCCUAAGGUAGCGAAAUUCCUUGUCGGGUAAGUUCCGACCCGCACGAAAGGCGUAACGAUUUAGGCACUGUCUCAACAAUAGACUCGGUGAAAUUGUAAUCCCGGUGAAGAUGCCGGGUACCUGCGACAGGACGGAAAGACCCCAUGGAGCUUUACUGUAGCUUGACGUUGGGUCUUGGUACUACAUGUACAGGAUAGGUGGGAGACUAUGAAGCAUGGACGCCAGUCUGUGUGGAGUCAUCCUUGGGAUACCACCCUUGUAGUACUGGGAUCCUAACCAUAGGCCUUGAAUCAGGUCUUGGAACACCGUCAGGUGGGCAGUUUGACUGGGGCGGUCGCCUCCUAAAAAGUAACGGAGGCGCUCAAAGGUUUCCUCAGCACGGUCGGAAAUCGUGCGAAGAGUGUAAAGGCAAAAGGAAGCUUGAUUGCAAGACAUACAGGUCGAGCAAGGACGAAAGUCGGACUUAGUGAUCCGGUGGUACCGCAUGGAAGGGCCAUCGCUCAACGGAUAAAAGCUACCCUGGGGAUAACAGGCUUAUCUCCCCCAAGAGUCCACAUCGACGGGGAGGUUUGGCACCUCGAUGUCGGCUCAUCACAUCCUGGGGCUGUAGUAGGUCCCAAGGGUUGGGCUGUUCGCCCAUUAAAGUGGUACGCGAGCUGGGUUCAGAACGUCGUGAGACAGUUCGGUCCCUAUCCGUCGCAGGCGUAGGAAAUUUGAGAAGACCUGUCCUUAGUACGAGAGGACCGGGAUGGACGUACCUCUGGUGUACCAGUUGUUCUGCCAAGGGCAUGGCUGGGUAGCUAUGUACGGAAUGGAUAAGCGCUGAAAGCAUCUAAGCGCGAAGCCAACUUCAAGAUAAGAUUUCCACCGUAAGGGUAAGACCCCAGGAAGACUACCUGGUUGAUAGGUCGAAGGUGUAAGUGCAGUAAUGUAUUUAGCUUAUCGAUACUAAUAGGUCGAGGACUUG
rnacentral:rRNA from 1 species